CCUACGGGGGGCUGCAGUGGGGAAUAUUGGACAAUGGGGGGAACCCUGAUCCAGCCAUGCCGCGUGUGUGAAGAAGGCCCUCGGGUUGUAAAGCACUUUCAGUGAGGAAGAACGCCUGGUGGUUAAUACCCAUCAGGAAAGACAGCACUCACAGAAGAAGCACCGGCUAACUCCGUGCCAGCAGCCGCGGUAAUACGGAGGGUGCGAGCGUUAAUCGGAAUUACUGGGCGUAAAGCGCGCGUAGGUGGCUUGAUAAGCCGGUUGUGAAAGCCCCGGGCUCAACCUGGGAACGGCAUCCGGAACUGUCAAGCUAGAGUGCAGGAGAGGAAGGUAGAAUUCCCGGUGUAGCGGUGAAAUGCGUAGAGAUCGGGAGGAAUACCAGUGGCGAAGGCGGCCUUCUGGACUGACACUGACACUGAGGUGCGAAAGCGUGGGUAGCAAACAGGAUUAGAUACCCUGGUAGUC
rnacentral:rRNA from 1 species